UUUGGCCUCGNUAUCGGUGUCCGAUUUAGCCAUGCGAGUUGCACGUUUAACGUAGCAAACUGCUCAGUAACACGUGGCCAAACUGCCCUAUGGAUCGGGAUAACCUCGGGAAACUGAGGCUAAUCCCGAAUAGUGCAUCCAGCCUGGAACUGGCGGAUGUACGAAAUGCUCCGGCGCCAUAGGAUGUGGCUGCGGCCGAUUAGGUAGACGGUGGGGUAACGGCCCACCGUGCCGAUAAUCGGUACGGGUCAUGAGAGUGAGAGCCCGGAGACGGACUCUGAGACACGAGUCCGGGCCCUACGGGGCGCAGCAGGCGCGAAACCUUUACACUGCACGACAGUGCGAUAGGGGGACACCGAGUGCGAGGGCAUAGAGCCCUCGCUUUUGUAGACCGUAAGGAGGUCUACGAAUAAGGGCUGGGCAAGACCGGUGCCAGCCGNCGCGGUAACACCGGCAGCCCAAGUGAUGGCCGAUAUUAUUGGGCCUAAAGCGUCCGUAGCUGGCCGCGCAAGUUCGUCGGGAAAUCCACUCGCUUAACGAGUGGGCGUNCGGCGAAAACUGCGCGGCUUGGGACCGGAAGAUCCAAGGGGUACGUUCCGGGGUAGGAGUGAAAUCCCGUAAUNCUUGG
rnacentral:rRNA from 1 species